CUAGGUGAAGUUUCUCUUUGGCUAUGAGGUGAAUGGGGAAGCAAUUUCAAGUAGCUUAUUUUUUGUGAGGUGUACUUUAAUUGAUGAGAUCACUGAAAGAGUUGACUGUAACUGCAGGAAUCCAUUCAAUGAUGAUCUGCAAGUUCAGAUGGUGAUCCCCCUAUAAGAAUCUUGAAUAAUGGUGUUCAUUAAAACUUACUGCAGGCUAUGUUUGUAAGCUGCUGAAUUCUGCAUGCUUAAAUUAUAUUUUUGGGCUGUAAUUUUCCAUGCUGGUCUGAAAUUUAUUUUUGAUUAGUAAGGGCUGCUGUCUGCACUUCGAGCCUGUACUGAUGUUAUAUUGUUGUUAGCUUUUCUUCUGGCUCUCUAUCAUUCUGUUUAUGCUUCAGAUAUGCAGUGAUGUAGGUACUGUAUUAUUUAAUGGAAGCAGCCAUUAUUUUGAUACCAGUCAAUUUGUAAAGAACAUGGUUUGUUAUGCAAUAACACUUCUUUACAAAUUGACUGGUAUCAAAAUA
rnacentral:misc_RNA from 1 species